rnacentral:rRNA from 1 species
UACAGGCUUAACACAUGCAAGUCGAGGGGCAUCAUGAACAAAGCUUGCUUUCUUUGAUGGCGACCGGCGCACGGGUGAGUAACACGUAUCCAACCUGCCCUUUACUCGGGGAUAGCCUUUCGAAAGAAAGAUUAAUACCCGAUGGCAUAAUGAUUCCGCAUGGUUUCAUUAUUAAAGGAUUCCGGUAAAGGAUGGGGAUGCGUUCCAUUAGGUUGUUGGUGAGGUAACGGCUCACCAAGCCUUCGAUGGAUAGGGGUUCUGAGAGGAAGGUCCCCCACAUUGGAACUGAGACACGGUCCAAACUCCUACGGGAGGCAGCAGUGAGGAAUAUUGGUCAAUGGGCGCUAGCCUGAACCAGCCAAGUAGCGUGAAGGAUGAAGGCUCUAUGGGUCGUAAACUUCUUUUAUAUAAGAAUAAAGUGCAGUAUGUAUACUGUUUUGUAUGUAUUAUAUGAAUAAGGAUCGGCUAACUCCGUGCCAGCAGCCGCGGUAAUACGGAGGAUCCGAGCGUUAUCCGGAUUUAUUGGGUUUAAAGGGAGCGUAGGUGGACUGGUAAGUCAGUUGUGAAAGUUUGCGGCUCAACCGUAAAAUUGCAGUUGAUACUGUCAGUCUUGAGUACAGUAGAGGUGGGCGGAAUUCGUGGUGUAGCGGUGAAAUGCUUAGAUAUCACGAAGAACUCCGAUUGCGAAGGCAGCUCACUGGACUGCAACUGACACUGAUGCUCGAAAGUGUGGGUAUCAAACAGGAUUAGAUACCCUGGUAGUCCACACAGUAAACGAUGAAUACUCGCUGUUUGCGAUAUACAGUAAGCGGCCAAGCGAAAGCAUUAAGUAUUCCACCUGGGGAGUACGCCGGCAACGGUGAAACUCAAAAGAAUUGACGGGGGCCCGCACAAGCGGAGGAACAUGUGGUUUAAUUCGAUGAUACGCGAGGAACCUUACCCGGGUUUAAAUUGCAGUGGAAUGAUGUGGAAACAUGUCAGUGAGCAAUCACCGCUGUGAAGGUGCUGCAUGGUUGUCGUCAGCUCGUGCCGUGAGGUGUCGGCUUAAGUGCCAUAACGAGCGCAACCCUUAUCUUUAGUUACUAACAGGUCAUGCUGAGGACUCUAGAGAGACUGCCGUCGUAAGAUGUGAGGAAGGUGGGGAUGACGUCAAAUCAGCACGGCCCUUACGUCCGGGGCUACACACGUGCUACAAUGGGGGGUACAGAAGGCAGCUAGCGGGUGACCGUAUGCUAAUCCCAAAAGCCUCUCUCAGUUCGGAUCGAAGUCUGCAACCCGACUUCGUGAAGCUGGAUUCGCUAGUAAUCGCGCAUCAGCCACGGCGCGGUGAAUACGUUCCCGGGCCUUGUACACACCGCCCGUCAAGCCAUGGGAGCCGGGGGUACCUGAAGUACGUAACCGCAAGGAUCGUCCUAGGGUAAAACUGGUGACUGGGGCU